UACAUGGGGUGCAAACGUUGCUCGGAAUUAUUGGGCGUAAAGCGCGCGUAGGCGGUUACUUAAGUCGGAUGUGAAAGCCCUCGGCUUAACUGAGGAAGUGCACCCGAAACUGAGUAGCUAGAGUACUAAAGAGGGUCGCGGAAUUCCCGGUGUAGAGGUGAAAUUCGUAGAUAUCGAGAGGAACACCGGUGGCGAAGGCGGCGAUCUGGACGAUGACUGACGCUGAGACGCGAAAGCGUGGGGAGCAAACAGG
rnacentral:rRNA from 1 species